AUGACCCAGCGGGUGCCCCAGCUCUCCGUGCCCGCCGCACUGGCCCUGGGCUCAGCCGCGCUGGGCACUGCCUUCGCCACUGGCAUCUUCCUAGGGAGGCAGUGGCCCUCAUGGCAAGGCCUGCGAGAGCUGCACCUGCUUCCCCGCGAGGACAGCCACCUGUGGCAGUAUCUCCCAUGCGGGAGCACCCGGUGCUGCGAAGCCUGAGGCUACUGGCCCUGGAGCAGUCGCAGGGGGAUUCCAUGAUGACCUGCGAGCAGGCCCAGCUCCUGGCCAACCUGGCGCGGCUCAUCCAGGCUAAGAAGGCGCUGGAUCUAGGCACCUUCACGGGCUACUCCGCCCUAACGCUGUCCCUGGCGCUGCCCGCGGAUGGGCGCAUGGUGACCUGCGAGGUGGACACGCAGCCCCCGGAGCUGGGGCGGCCCCUGUGGAGGCAGGCUGAGGCGGAGCUCAAGAUCGACCUCCGGCUGAAGCCAGCCCUGGAGACCCUGGACGAGCUGAGGGCAGAGGGCAAGGCCGGCACCUUCGACGUGGCCGUGGCGGACGCGGACAGGGAGAACUGCGCUGCCUACUACGAGCGCUGCCUGCAGCUGCUGCGGCCAGGAGGCAUCCUCGCCGUCCUCAGAGUCCUGUGGAACCGAAAGGUGCUGCAACCUCCGCAGGGGGACCUGGCGGCCGAAUGUGUGCGGAACCUGAAGGAAUGUAUCCGGCGGGACGUGAGGGCCUACAUCAGUCUCCUGCCCAUGGGCGAUGGCCUCACCUUGACUUUCAAGAUCUAGGACUGGCCCCUAGUGAGUGGGCUCGAGGAAAGGUUGCCUGGGAACCCCAGGAAUUGACUCUGAGUUUUAAAUUCGGCAAUAAAGUGGGGCUGGGACCUCC